UAUGAACGUUACUCACAUAUUUCGUGACAUUCUGUAUAGGGCUAUACGUACUUGUACAAUGCAUAAGUGUGAUAUUCGUUUAGAUUCUCGAUUCUUUCAGGGAGCUUUAUACUUUUCGCACUCUUGUCGAUCGACAGCAUAAAUAAGACGAAGAAGAGGAUCGCGGCACGAUGUGCACAGGACCUGUAUUCUUCUCUGGCAAGGUCUAUCUCCUUCUCUGUUUGUUCAGACACUACCAACGAUUCCUCGAUAGAGGUCGAGGUCGCCUUUGACGAUUGCAACGUGCUCAGUAAAUCCAGGUCGUCCAGUAGAGUGUCUCCGGCCACGUUCAGUAGACUAGGAAGGGAUCAAAAGAAGCAAAGGAUAUCUUACUGGAGUAUUUUGUCUUCGAGUUCUUUGAGAGUUCGUUUAUUGGACGAGAUCGUGAAGACCAGAUUGUCCUUCUGUUCUUCGAGCUGCGGCUUCUCUUUUCUGACCACGAUUCCCAAGAGCUGGUCUUCCAGUCCUGCGCACAGGAUAAUAAGGUUCUAGACUUUGUCUCCUCUGGCUACCUCUUCCUCUACCGCCCUCUCGAUCUAGUUCGCCUCCCGUUCAUCCUUCUCUCUGUGUCCAUCUUUUUCGCUCUCUAUUAUCUACCCUUUUCCAACUGACGCACGAUAAGACAAUUAGUUACCCUGUUCCUUAAUGGCGAAGUUACAUAACGUCGUUUUAGUGGAUAUCUCCGGGGCGUAAUGGGGGUUCGCGAGUUUCGUCGUGAUGAAGAGCCGGAACUUGUCGUGGUAGCUGAUCAUCUUUUCGUUGAACUUGAUCAUCAUCUGGUUCUCUGUACAGUCAGAGAACACGUACUGUAGAUGGACGCGAUUUAGCGUUGGAAGGUAAAGUUUACACGUUUCGAGUGCCAACAUAUGCAAUUGGAGAGACCUUUAGAGGGAUAAGGACUUUCAAUUCGGAAUUAUCUCUUCCUGUUGCUCUCUAAAGUAUACGUAUUAAUUUUUGACGAUCAUACAGCAACUUUCAUUAAUACGGAAGCUGUUAUUAAUUUACUAAGAAAAAAGUAAUAGGGAUUAAUAUCAUAUAUACGGAUUUAAUAAAAGGUUAUAAACAGAAUAUUUAUUUGUAAAUUAUCAUUGCAAAAUUUAAAUCUUCUCUAUAAGACGAAAACGAUUCUGAAUACAGCCAUUAUACACAGAGCACAGCGUUUUUAUUGAAUUUACGUUUAACUGCAUUGACUGACAAUGAGUCUUUGAUGCUUCUUCCAUUUGAAUUGCUAUUGAACUCCAAUAAUUUCAUGAUACUUUUACAUACCUAUUUUCACUAUUGCUCGUUCAAGGAUCGGGUUCAAUACCGGAUCGAUCGUUUCACCGAUAUUUUCUAGUAGAACUGGUUUACCAUAUUGGAUCGCGUAUUCUAAUACUCUGACGAAGUCUGGUUGGCCGAAAUCGAUCACUUUUAGAGACUAUGACCGCGAAAAGAUCGAAGAGAUUUCGCUUAAGAAUGUUUGUGUAAUUAAGAUUCUUUUGUAAUUUGUUUGUUUCCUAGAUUGGAUCGCAGAUGCUUACGUUCUUGGCCUCCAUAUUUUUCAGCCAUUUCACUGCUUGGCAUUGUGGAUCGAUUACUAAUGGCCACCUUGUACCUCUGACCACAAUGAUACCGUUCUCAGUACUAAAAUCAUCGGAUGGUAAUCCUUGCAUGUUCCAGUCUCUGAUGACCGCAGGGUCGGCCAGGAAUUGUUUCACAUCGAGCUGGGGUGACGUUGGAACUUCUUUUUCUUGCACCUUCGAGUUCGUUUGCGGACACCAUUGGAAAUUAGAGAACAAGAACAUCGAUACAUUUUGUUUAUUAAAUUUUAUAUCACUGCCGACUACUUUUCAAAAAAGUGGUCAUUUUUCCAGAAGAAUGUUGGACGAUCACCCCGCUGUCGGAAAUCUCAGAGUAAAACUAUUUUGCAAUCAUCCUUCUGGAAGAAUGAUAAUCAUAUCUAAAUAAAACUUUAUAUUAAAAGAG